GCCGGGAUGGCGGAAUUGGUAGACGCGCUGGACUCAAAAUCCAGUUCUAGCGAUAGAGUGGGGGUUCGAUUCCCCCUCCCGGCACCA
rnacentral:tRNA from 1 species